UCAGCUGCGAGAUGUCCUU
rnacentral:misc_RNA from 1 species